GCCCUGCGAGGAUGCUCUCUAGACUUGAGAGAGAAGGGAAAGACAAGGCCCCGAGGAAAGGAACCGUCGGGAUUUUGUGUGUCUGUGCGUCUGUGAUUUAAUGGAGGCAACCAGUUCUCGGGAAGACUGGGUGAGCCGAGGAAACGCGCGCGGGGGCGCACAAGUCAAAACGGGGCCAACUAAGGCGUGUCGGGGAGUCCUGGGGACCGCCACCUGGUUAACACCAACCAGGGCACAAAACAGCCCCCCGGGUGGGGAGAGAUGCUCACCUUGCUUAUCUGUUGGCAAGAAGCAAAUACAAAAGAUAAGAUAACGUGAUGUCGCUUACAACGGUGGCUCUUUCAUUAGCCAAUUUCACCUUCCCGCAACACGCGUGCGAACCUUUGGAACUUUCAUUUGCGGCAUGUUGGCGCCCCCUGGCCGUGUUUGGAUUGCUCUCGUGCUCGCCUGUAACCCAGCAAAGAAAAGGACUGAGUUGCAGGUUUCCCUCCCGGGUGGAUCUGCCCUCCUGACCUGGGCCUCCAUUCGAUCAGGGGCAAGGUUGUCCCCCAAAAUCGGGACGACAAAACGCAUAUUGAGGGGGACCGACGCCAAAGGCAAGUGCAUCCGCAUUCAACCUGGAAGAGAUACAGAUGUGUUCGCACCCAGAGGAAAGACCAGGUGAAGACACAGUGAAAAGGUGGCCUUCCACUAGCCAAGGAGAGACACUUCAGAAGAAAGCAAACCUGCCAACAUCUUGAUCUUGGAGUUCCAGCCUCUAGAACGGUGCCAAUCUCAAAAACACGCCCUAAUAAACAUCCUUCAUUUAAUCUCCAUCGCAGAGUCUGAAAAGGUAAAACUCCAGGAAUCAGAUCUGACCAUGCAACAUU